rnacentral:rRNA from 1 species
AGUUAAGCAACUAAGCGUACACGGUGAAUGCCGGCAGUCAGAAGGCGAUGAAGAGGCGUGCUAAUCUGCGAUAAGCGCCGGCCAGGUGAUAUGAACCGUUAUAACCAGCGUACGAAUGCAGGAAGCCCGAGUAUUGAUUCGUCACACUAUCAUUAACGAAUCCGCGGUUAAUAUAAGGGCGAACCGGGAACUGAAAUCUAAGUACCCCGAGGAAAAGAAAUCAACCGAGAUUCCCCAGUAGCGGCGAGCGAACGGGGAGGAGCAGGAAGCCUGAAUCAGCAUGUGUGUGUUAGUGGAAGCGUCUGGAAAGGCGCGCGAUACAGGGUAACGGCCCGUACGCAAAAGCGCAUGUGCUGUGAAGCUCAGUAGAGGCGGGACACGUGGUAUCCUGUCUGAAUAUGGGGGACCAUCCUCCAAGGCUAAAUACUCCUGACGACCGAUAGUGAACCAGUACCGUGAGGGGAAAGGCGAACGGCGAGGGUGAAAAAAGAACCUGAAACCGUGUACGUACAGCGGUGGGAGCCCCACCGCUGGCCAGUGGUGAACUCCACAUACGCAUCCUUUGCUGAGGAUACGGUUAACGGAGCGAAAGCGACGUUCAACCUCAAAAAAGCAGAGGGGGCUUGAUGUUGGGGUGACUGCGUACCUUUUGUAUAAUGGGUCAGCGACUUAUAUUCUGUAGCAAGGUUAACCGUAUAGGGGAGCCGGAGGAAACCGGUGCUUAACCGGGCGUUAAGUUGCAGGGUAUGAACCCGAAACCGGUGAUCUAGCCAUGGGCAGGUUGAAGGUUGGGUAACACUAACUGGAGGACCGGGCAACAUGUUGAAAAAAAUUAGCGGAUGACCUGUGGCUUGGGGGGUGAAAGGCCAGUCAAACCGGGGAGAUAACUGGUUCUCCCCAGCUAUUUGGUAGCGCCUCGUGAAUUCAUCUCCGGGGUAGAGCUGUUUCGGCUAGGGGGCCAUCCCGGCUUACCAGCCGAUGCAAACUGCGAAUACCGGAGAAUGUUAUCACGGGAACGCACGGCGAGGUGCUAACGUCCGUCGUGAAGAAGCAACGAACCGCCAGCUAAAAGGUCCCAAAGUCAUGGUUAAGUGGGAAACGAUGUGGGAAGGCGGAGCAGCGAGGAUGUUGGCUUAGAAGCAGCCAUCAUUUAAAAGCGUAAUAGCUCACUGGUCGGAGAGUCGGCCUGCGCGGAAGAUGUAACGGGGCUAAACCAUGCACCGAAGCGCUGCGGCAGCAGGCAUAUCACGCAAAAGCGAUUCCAGCGGAUGACGAUUGACGGAGCGAAGCGACGUCAAAAGCGCUCUCCACAAAAGUCGAGUCAGUUUUAAGGAUACGUUCGUUGAGCAAGGCGUUCUGUAAGCCUGCGAGUGGCCUGUGAGGUUGCUGGAGGUAUCCAGAAGUGCGAAUGCUGACAUAGUAACGAUAAAGCGGGUGAAAGCCCGCUCGCCGGGCUCCAAGGGUUCCUGUCCAACGUUAAUCGGGGCGGGGUGGAGUCGACCUAAGGCGAGGCCGAAAGGCGUAGUCGAUGGAAACGGGUUAAUAUUCCCGUACUUGGUGUUACUGCGAAGGGGACAGGAGAAGACUGCUCUUGGCCGGGCGACGGUUGUCCCCGUUUAGCGUGUAGGUGUGUGUUCGGGUAAAUCCGGUUCACUUUAACACUGAGGCGUGACGACGAGGCACUACGGUGCUGAAGCAACAAAUGCCCUGCUUCGAGCCUCUAGCAUCAGGUAACAUCAAAUCGUACCCCCAAACCGACACAGGUGGUCAGGUAAGAAUACCAAGGCGCUUGAAGAGAACUCGAGGUGAAGGAACUAGGCAAAAAUAAUUUGCCGUAACUUCAGAGAAAACACACGCUGACAUGUAGGUAGUAUUUUGCUAUGGAGCUGAAGAUCAGUCGAAAGAUACCAACUGGCUGCAACUGUUGUAAACACAGCACUGUGCAAACACGAAAGUGGACGUAUACGGUGUGACGCCUGCCCGGUGCCGGAAGGUUGGUGAUAAGGGUCAGCGCAAGCGAAAGCUCCUGAUCGAAGCCCCGGUAAGCAGCGGCCGUAGCUUUAUAAUAGCGGUCCUAGGUAGCGAAAUUCCUUGUCAGGUAAGUUCCGACCUGCACGUCAGCAAUGAUGGCGGGCUGUCUCCACCCGAGACUCAGUGGUGAACUCGCUGUGAAGAUGCAGUGUACCCGCAGCAAGACGGAAAGACCCGUGAACCUUUACUAUAGCUUGACACUGAACAUUGAGCCUUGAUAGCCAGGAUAGGUGGGAAGCUUUUGAAGUGUGGACGCCAGUCUGCAUAGGCCGACCUUGAAAUACCACCCUUUAAUAUUUGAUGUUCUAACGUGGACCCAUGUCCGGGUUGCGGACAGUGUCUGGUGGGUAGUUUGACUGGGGCGGUCUCACUCUAAGAGUAACGGAGGCACGAAGGUUGGCUAAUCACGGUCGGACAUCAGGAGGAGUUGAGUGCAAUGGCAUAAGCCAGCGACUGCGAGCGUGACGGCGCGAAGCGGGUACGCUGGAGUGUAGUGAUCGGUGGUUCUGAAUGGAGGCCAUCGCUCAGCAAUAAAAGGUACUCCGGGAUAACAGGCUGAUACCGCCCAAGUUCAUAUCGACAGCGGUGUUUGGCACCUCGUCGGCUCUAGUCACAUCACAGGGCUGAAGUAUGGUCCCCAUUGGUAUGGCUGUUCGCCAUUUAAAGUGUGGUACGCGAGCUGGGUUUUAGGAACGUCGUGAGACAGUUCGGUCCUAUCUGCCGUGGGCGCUGGAGAACUGAGGGGCUGCUCCUAGUACGAGAGGACCGGAGUGGACGCAUCACUGGUGUUCGGGUUGUCAUGCCAAUGGCACUGCCCGGUAGCUAAAUACGGAAGAGAUAAGUGCUGAAAGCAUCUAAACGCGAAACUUGCCCCGAGAUAUGAGUUCUCCCUGGACUUGCAGAGUCUCCUGAAGGAACGUUGAAGGCGACGACGUUGAUAGGAAGGCCGGGUGUGUAAGCGCAGCAGCGAUGCGUUGAAGCUAACCACGGUGCCCCUACAAUGAACCGU